UACGUAGGGGGCAAGCGUUGUCCGGAUUUAUUGGGCGUAAAGAGCGUGUAGGCGGCUUUACAGGUCCGUUGUGAAAACUCGAGGCUCAACCUCGAGACGCCGGUGGAAACCGUAAAGCUAGAGUCCGGAAGAGGAGAGUGGAAUUCCUGGUGUAGCGGUGAAAUGCGCAGAUAUCAGGAGGAACACCCGUGGCGAAGGCAGCUCGCUGGGACGGUACUGACGCUGAGGCGCGAAAGCGUGGGGAGCAAACAGG
rnacentral:rRNA from 1 species